AGUUUGCUGACCUCUCUGAGGCUGCCAACCGGAACAACGAUGCCCUGCGCCAGGCAAAGCAGGAGUCAAACGAAUACCGGAGACAGGUGCAGUCACUCACCUGCGAAGUGGAUGCCCUUAAAGGCACUAAUGAGUCCCUGGAGCGCCAGAUGCGUGAAAUGGAAGAGAAUUUUGCCCUUGAAGCUGCUAACUACCAGGACACUAUUGGCCGCCUGCAGGAUGAGAUCCAGAACAUGAAGGAAGAGAUGGCUCGCCACCUUCGUGAAUACCAGGACCUGCUCAAUGUAAAGAUGGCUCUUGACAUUGAGAUCGCCACCUACAGGAAGCUGCUGGAAGGGGAGGAGAGCAGGAUUUCUCUGCCUCUUCCAAACUUUUCUUCCCUGAACCUGAGAGAAACUAACCUGGAGUCACUUCCUCUGGUUGACACCCACUCCAAAAGAACACUCCUGAUUAAGACGGUUGAAACCAGAGACGGACAGGUGAUCAAUGAGACUUCUCAGCACCACGAUGACCUUGAAUAAAAACUGCACAGGCUCAGUGCAACGGCGCAGUACCAGCAAGAAGGAAAAAAAAAUCGUAUCUUAGAAAAAAGAGCUUUCAAGUGCCUUUACUGCAGUUUUCAGGAGCGCAAGAUAGAUCUGGGAUAGAAACGAGCUCAGCACAUAACAACUGACACCCCCAAAAGGCGUAGAAAAGGUUUACAAAAUAAUCUAGUUUUACGAAGAAAUCUUGUGCUAGAAUACUUUUUAAAGUAUUUUUGAAUACCAUUAAAACUGCUUUCUUUUUCCAGAAAAUAUCUGACCAACUUGUUACUGCUUCAAUAAAACUUCAGAAAUAC
rnacentral:lncRNA from 1 species